rnacentral:rRNA from 1 species
GAUGAACGCUGGCGGCGUGCCUAAUACAUGCAAGUCGAGCGAACAGAUAAGGAGCUUGCUCCUUUGACGUUAGCGGCGGACGGGUGAGUAACACGUGGGUAACCUACCUAUAAGACUGGAAUAACUCCGGGAAACCGGGGCUAAUGCCGGAUAACAUUUAGAACCGCAUGGUUCUAAAGUGAAAGAUGGUUUUGCUAUCACUUAUAGAUGGACCCGCGCCGUAUUAGCUAGUUGGUAAGGUAACGGCUUACCAAGGCAACGAUACGUAGCCGACCUGAGAGGGUGAUCGGCCACACUGGAACGGAGACACGGUCCAGGCUCCUACGGGAGGCAGCAGUAGGGAAUCUUCCGCAAUGGGCGAAAGCCUGACGGAGCAACGCCGCGUGAGUGAUGAAGGUCUUCGGAUCGUAAAACUCUGUUAUUAGGGAAGAACAAAUGUGUAAGUAACUGUGCACGUCUUGACGGUACCUAAUCAGAAAGCAACGGCUAACUACGUG